ensembl:lncRNA
GCAACAGAAAGCCCUAUCUGGCCUUGGGAUUCUGAACCAGACACUUGUUAGGCAUGAAGAAGAAGUUUUUUGACAAGGUGAUGCAGCUGGAGAGACUGAUUGAGGAAGAGGCUAUAAUUUUAGAGGAAAUGAAACAACAUUGGACUCAUCUUACAAGAACCUGCAGGGCCUUGAAGGACCAGGCUAAUGUAAUAUCAGAUGACCUGGCCACACAGAGCUGACCUUCAGGACUGUCUGGUCAAGCUUACCAUGGCUUGCACAGUGCUGUCCUCCAAAAAUGUUAGGAGCUCAAAACAGACCUGGUAGCUGUGAAAGAAACCUACUCCCAAAUAGUGGUAAAUGGGAAUGGUGGAACUGUUGUUGAAAAAGAUAAUGAAGACCCAUAUGAGCAUGGCUCCACAGAUGCCUCUACGGAUAAUGAAUUAUAGAUUCUCUCUUCUCCACUGCACAAACUGGUCUCCUGAUUCUGAGUAGCUCAAGUUAGCUCUCCCCAUUGUAAAUAAUAAAACCUUGAACCUGAAUUUUCUAUCA